CCUGCUUAAAAUGACGUGAUUCGCUGGUAAAACUGAUAUUUUAUUUUAAUAUAAAACACAAUUGGUCAUCGACGUUAUUUCUAUCAGUUUCCACUGUGCUCUUCUCAACAGCUAAGUUUUCCACAACGUCACCGUCGUCAAUUGCAUAUACAAACUUGCUCAAGAUACAAACACAAUGGCUUACCAACGAACAUUCUUGAUCUUUUUAGCUGUCGCAUUGGUUGUGUUGACGAUUGCCUGCGUCGGAACCAACGCCGAAUGCCAGUGGGUAGACUGUCAUGAUCGUUUUGCAGACGGCUGGUGCAAUAAACUUGGACCUGGUUGGUAUGAAGAAUCGUCGCGUAGGUGCAAUGGACUUGCGGGCAAAUCAGAACAAUGUUGUAAAGGAUGAACACACUCAACAGUACACUUACACUAAACCUACCCAUAAUAUUAUAAUGUACUUAGUUAUAUAAAUAUAUUAUAGUAAAUAUAUUCAUUACACAAUAUUUGACAUCAACAUUUUUUUUUUACAGUAACAAUUUAAAUUGAUUUUUAUCGUAUAUUAUACUAUUGGCUUUUAUUGUUAAAA